rnacentral:rRNA from 1 species
CCUACGGGAGGCAGCAGUGGGGAAUAUUGGGCAAUGGGCGCAAGCCUGACCCAGCAACGCCGCGUGAAGGAAGAAGGCUUUCGGGUUGUAAACUUCUUUUAAGAGGGAAGAGCAGAAGACGGUACCUCUUGAAUAAGCCACGGCUAACUACGUGCCAGCAGCCGCGGUAAUACGUAGGUGGCAAGCGUUGUCCGGAUUUACUGGGUGUAAAGGGCGUGCAGCCGGGAAGACAAGUCAGAUGUGAAAUCCCGCGGCUCAACCGCUGAACUGCAUUUGAAACUGUUUUUCUUGAGUACCGGAGAGGUCAUCGGAAUUCCUUGUGUAGCGGUGAAAUGCGUAGAUAUAAGGAAGAACACCAGUGGCGAAGGCAGAUGACUGGACGGCAACUGACGGUGAGGCGCGAAAGCGUGGGGAGCAAACAGGAUUAGAUACCCUUGUAGUC